rnacentral:rRNA from 1 species
AGUGAACGCUGGCGGUAGGCCUAACACAUGCAAGUCGAACGGCAGCACAGUAAGAGCUUGCUCUUACGGGUGGCGAGUGGCGGACGGGUGAGGAAUACAUCGGAAUCUACUUUUUCGUGGGGGAUAACGUAGGGAAACUUACGCUAAUACCGCAUACGACCUACGGGUGAAAGCAGGGGAUCUUCGGACCUUGCGCGAUUGAAUGAGCCGAUGUCGGAUUAGCUAGUUGGCGGGGUAAAGGCCCACCAAGGCGACGAUCCGUAGCUGGUCUGCGAGGAUGAUCAGCCACACUGGAACUGAGACACGGUCCAGACUCCUACGGGAGGCAGAAGUGGGGAAUAUUGGACAAUGAGCGCAGGCCUGAUGCAGCCAUACCGCGUGGGUGAAGAAGGCCUUCGGGUUGUAAAGCCCUUUUGUUGGGAAAGAAAAGCAGCAGGUUAAUACCCCGCUGUUCUGACGGUACCCAAAGAAUAAGCACCGGCUAACUUCGUG